AUGCCGUCUAAUGCAUGUAACUUGGGAACAUCAUGUCCUAGGCCGUUUAGGGAUGUGAUCUGCAUUGGCAACACACUGAAGUUUGUUGAGGUGGAGUAUAACCAAGGUGAAGAUGAUACUGACUAUGGUUCGAAUACUGACCAUGGUUGGAAGGCGACAACUCAGAAGAGGAAUCUCGGGUCAGAGUGGACUGAAUGCUUUAGUGUACAUACUAGUGACAUCCUUUUAACCGAUGAAAGUUGGGAUUUGUUGUCACACAGGCUGCGGGAUGAUGAUGCACGCCAACUUUCCUUGAGUAAGUUGGGAGUGUUUAGCUCCUACCCUUGGCAUAGAUGA
rnacentral:rRNA from 1 species